AGGUCCCAUGUGGACCGAAGUGAAUAACGCCCCGCUUCCAGGAAAAGCCUCUAAGCUUCAGAUCACACUGGACCGUACCGUAAACCGACACUGGUGGGUGAGCAGAUAAUCUGCCAAGGCGCUUGAGAGAACUCGGGUUAAGGAACUCUGCAAAUUGAUACCGUAACUUCGGAAGAAGGUAUGCCUUCGACGGUGUAGGGAUUUACUCCCGAAGCUGUUGAAGGUCGCAGGUAAUCGGUGGCUGCGACUGUUUAUCAAAAACACAGGACUCUGCGAACACGCAAGUGGAAGUAUAGGGUCUGACGCCUGCCCGGUGCCGGAAGGUUAAUUGAUGGGGUUAGCCGCAAGGCGAAGCUCUUGAUCGAAGCCCCGGUAAACGGCGGCCGUAACGAUAACGGUCCUAAGGUAGCGAAAUUCCUUGUCGGGUAAGUUCCGACCUGCACGAAUGGCGUAACGCUGGCCACACUGUCUCGACCCGAGACUCAGUGAAGUUGAAAUCGCUGUGAAGAUGCGGCGUUCCCGCGGCAAGACGGAAAGACCCCGUGAACCUUCACUACAGCUUUACAUUGAACUUUGAAUCUUCCUGUGUAGCAUAGGUGGGAGGCUUUGAAGCCUGGGCGCUAGCUCAGGUGGAGCCAACGUUGAAAUACCACCCUGGGAUAUUCGGAGUUCUAACCUUGGUCCGUAAUCCGGAUUGGGGACAAUGUAUGGUGGGUAGUUUGACUGGGGCGGUCUCCUCCCAAAGAGUAACGGAGGAGUGCAAUGGUACGCUCAGCGCGGUCGGUCAUCGCGCUCUAGAGUGCAAAGGCAUAAGCGUGCUUAACUGUGAGACAGACACGUCGAACAGGUACGAAAGUAGGUCUUAGUGAUCCGGUGGUUCUGUAUGGAAGGGCCAUCGCUCAACGGAUAAAAGGUACUCCGGGGAUAACAGGCUUAUUCCUCCCAAGAGUCCACAUCGACGGAGGAGUUUGGCACCUCGAUGUCGGCUCAUCACAUCCUGGGGCUGUAGCAGGUCCCAAGGGUAUGGCUGUUCGCCAUUUAAAGUGGUACGCGAGCUGGGUUCAGAACGUCGUGAGACAGUUCGGUCCCUAUCUGCCGUGGGCGUUGGAAACUUGAGGGUGAGCUGUCCUUAGUACGAGAGGACCGGGAUGGACGUAUUUCUGGUGUUCCGGUUGUCACGCCAGUGGCACUGCCGGGUAGCUAUAUACGGACGGGAUAAGCGCUGAAAGCAUCUAAGCGCGAAGCCCCCCCCAAGAUUAGGUUUCCCUGGGAACUCGAUCCCCUAAAGGGCCGUCGGAGACUACGACGUUGAUAGGCUGGGUGUGUAAGUGCAGCAAUGCAUUGAGCUAACCAGUACUAAUUGCCCGUGAGGCUUGACCG
rnacentral:rRNA from 1 species